GGAUGUGGAGGCGAUCUGGCUGCGACAUCUGUCACCCCAUUGAUCACCAGGGUUGAUUCGGCGGAGCUGGCUGGCUAGGCGGUUGUCCCCUCCCUCCCUCACCGCUCUGCGUGCGUCCUUCCUGAAGCUUUGCGCUCAGUCCAAGAGGACGACCUUCCCCGACAGCGGAGGACCAUUCUUCGGUCGAGGGUAUACGAGUUAGCAGUGUUCCUCUGCCAGAGCCUCCAAACAAGCUCUCAAGGUCUAUUAAAAAAGCCAAGCAAACAAAAAACCUCACUUUCUAGUUGGGAGUGAGGAUGUU
ensembl:misc_RNA 7SK 7SK RNA